rnacentral:misc_RNA from 1 species
CUGAAUUGUCAACACGAGUUGUUGCUGGUCCCCAAAUGGGGGCAUGUGCACACUCUGUUCACACAUCCAUUCACACCUGUGCACCCCAUGUAGUUCUAUGGUUUGGGGGUCUGUGCCCUCUGCUGUGGUUCUAUAUCUUUACACACACUCUGUAAUAAAGUCUUAUGGAAUGUAUGCAGCGUUUAACGCAAUACAAUA